rnacentral:rRNA from 1 species
UACGUAGGGUGCAAGCGUUGUCCGGAAUUAUUGGGCGUAAAGAGCUCGUAGGCGGUGUGUCGCGUCGGCCGUGAAAACCUGCAGCUUAACUGUGGGCUUGCGGUCGAUACGGGCAUCACUGGAGUUCGGCAGGGGAGACUGGAAUUCCUGGUGUAGCGGUGAAAUGCGCAGAUAUCAGGAGGAACACCGGUGGCGAAGGCGGGUCUCUGGGCCGUAACUGACGCUGAGGAGCGAAAGCGUGGGGAGCAAACAGG